UGUCCGCUCCAAGGUAACUGGUCCUGGAGCCUGAGACCAAGGCUGUGGUCAGACCUCCUAGAGAGGCGUCUGCGGGUGCUGUUGGUUCUCAGAGUUUUCCUUCUCCUGCUGCGUGACAAGGAGUGAGGUGGACCUGAGAUGAGACUUGUGCAAACACCUCCUGAACUUCUUUGGCAGAGAAAAAUGUUGAAGUUCAGUGAAAUCUGCAAGAAACAUGUUCAAUCCAGUCUGGUGUGGAGGCAGAAUCAGCGAGCAGUGUGACACCUGGGAAGACGCAGCGCGCUGGCUGACUGUGACGCCAUGAGCAGAAUUGCCUGGAAGCAGCUCUGGAAGUUUGUUCAUGGCUACCUGGGCCUGCUCUUGGUGGAGGGAGCUGUUCAAAUUCAUCCUAAUCCUGGGAACCACAGGCAGUGACCCGGAAAGCCCCACAGGCCUGCGCAGGAACACACUGAGAGUCAGGGCAUCCCUCCCCAUCUCGGCUUCCCGUUAUUGCUGGCCUGUGGACCAGGCUGAUCCUCUGAGCACACCAGUCACUGCGGGUAAUUAAACAGGGGCCAUGCGAGCAUGUCCAUAAAUCAGCCAAGGAGGUGGGGUAUGCUUAGCUGAACCCACAUGCCAACUGCAUCUUUGACCAAAUAAAAAGGCUGUUUUACACUUUUUAAAAAAAUUCUAAAUUACUUUUUACUGUGGAAAAAAAAAAUGCAUGCCAUAAAACCUACCAUCUUUCCCAUUUCUUUCUUCUUUUUUUUUUUUAAGAUUAUUUUUAUUUGAAAGAGUUAUGGAGACAGUGGGAAAGAUAGAGAGAGAGAGAGAGAUCUUCCAUCACCUGGUUCACUCCCCAGAUGGCCACAACAGCUGGAACUGGGCCAGACCAGAGCCAGGAGCUUCAUCUGGACCUCCCAUGUGGGUGGCAGGGACCCAAGCACUUGGGCUGUCUUCUACUGCUUUUCCCAGCCCAUUAGCUGGGAGCUAGAUCAGAAGUGGAGCAGUUGGGAUUCGAACCAGCACCCAUAUGGGAUGCUGACGCUGCAAAUGGUGGUUUAACCCACUACACCACGAUGCUGGCCCUCCUCUUCCCCAUUUCUAAGCAUCCUGACUGUGGUGUUCAGUAGAUUCAUAGUGCGGUGCCGCCAGCCCCUAAGAGCUCUCCAUUUCCACCCGCCCGCUUCGGCCCUCCACAGCCACCACUCUGCUUUCUGUGUUUGUGAACUGGAAUCCUCUAGAUAGCUCAUGGAAGUGCAGUCAUGCGGUAUUUGUCUUCUGGGGACUGGCUUAUUUCAUUUAGCAUAAUGUCUUCCAGGUUCAUGUCCAUGUUGUCACGUGAUGGGUGGUGUUUGUCUGCUAACUGAUGCUUGGGCUGCCCCUGCAUCUGCACUGUUAUGAAGUGUUGCUAUGAACGUGGGUGUGUGAAUACCUCUUUAAGAUCCUGUUUUGGGGGCUGUACUGUGGCAUAGCAGGUUAAGCUACCACCUGCCGUGCUGGCAUCCCACAUGGGUGGCUUCUCUACUUCCGAUUCAGUUCCCUGCUACUGUGCCUGAGAGAGCACCAGAAGAUGUCCAAGUGCUUGGGCCCCUGGAUCCAUGUGGGAGACCUGGAUGGAACUUCAGGCUCCUGGCUUUGGCCUGGUCCAGCCCCACCUGUUGCGACCAUUUCGGGAGUGAACCAGUGGAUGGAAUACCUCUCUCUCUCUCUCUCUCUCUGUCUCUCUCUCUCUCUGUCCUUUCUUUAUCUAUAAC